rnacentral:rRNA from 1 species
GACGAACGCUGGCGGCGUGCUUAACACAUGCAAGUCGAACGGAAAGGCCCUGCUUUUGUGGGGUGCUCGAGUGGCGAACGGGUGAGUAACAAGUUAGUAACCUGCCCUUUACUUUGGGAUAACUUCCGGAAACUGGGGCUAAUACCUGAUAGGAGCUCCUUCUGCAUGGUGGGGGUUGGAAAUUUUCGGCGGUUGGGGAUGGACUCGCGGCUUAUCAGCUUGUUGGUGGGGUAGUGGCUUACCAAGGCUUUGACGGGUAGCCGGCCUGAGAGGGUGACCGGCCACAUUGGGACUGAGAUACGGCCCAGACUCCUACGGGAGGCAGCAGUGGGGAAUAUUGCACAAUGGGCGGAAGCCUGAUGCAGCAACGCCGCGUGCGGGAUGACGGCCUUCGGGUUGUAAACCGCUUUCGCCUGUGACGAAGCGUGAGUGACGGUAAUGGGUAAAGAAGCACCGGCUAACUACGUG